UACAGAGGUCCCAAGCGUUGUUCGGAUUCACUGGGCGUAAAGGGUGCGUAGGCGGUUGGGUAAGUCUGUCGUGAAAUCUCCGAGCCUAACUCGGAAACUGCGUCGGAUACUAUUCAACUCGAGGAAUGGAGGGGAGACUGGAAUUCUCGGUGUAGCAGUGAAAUGCGUAGAUAUCGAGAGGAACACCAGUGGCGAAGGCGAGUCUCUGGACAUUUCCUGACGCUGAGGCACGAAAGCCAGGGGAGCAAACGGGG
rnacentral:rRNA from 1 species